rnacentral:rRNA from 1 species
CCUACGGGUGGCAGCAGUGGGGAAUAUUGGGCAAUGGGCGCAAGCCUGACCCAGCAACGCCGCGUGAAGGAAGAAGGCUUUCGGGUUGUAAACUUCUUUUCUCAGGGACGAAGCAAGUGACGGUACCUGAGGAAUAAGCCACGGCUAACUACGUGCCAGCGGCCGCGGUAAUACGUAGGUGGCAAGCGUUAUCCGGAUUUCCUGGGUGUAAAGGGCGGGUAGGCGGGGACGCAAGUCAGAUGUGAAAACCACGGGCUCAAACUUUUGCCUGCAUUUGAAACUGUGUUUCUUGAGUACUGGAGAGGCAGACGGAAUGCCUAGGGUAGCGGUGAAAGGCGUAGAUAUUAGGAGGAACACCAGUGGCGAAGGCGGUCUGCUGGACAGCAACUGACGCUGAGGCGCGAAAGCGUGGGGAGCAAACAGGAUUAGAUACCCGGGUAGUC